GAUGAACGCUGGCGGCGUGCCUAAUACAUGCAAGUCGAGCGAACGGACGAGAAGCUUGCUUCUCUGAUGUUAGCGGCGGACGGGUGAGUAACACGUGGAUAACCUACCUAUAAGACUGGGAUAACUUCGGGAAACCGGAGCUAAUACCGGAUAAUAUUUUGAACCGCAUGGUUCAAAAGUGAAAGACGGUCUUGCUGUCACUUAUAGAUGGAUCCGCGCUGCAUUAGCUAGUUGGUAAGGUAACGGCUUACCAAGGCAACGAUGCAUAGCCGACCUGAGAGGGUGAUCGGCCACACUGGAACUGAGACACGGUCCAGACUCCUACGGGAGGCAGCAGUAGGGAAUCUUCCGCAAUGGGCGAAAGCCUGACGGAGCAACGCCGCGUGAGUGAUGAAGGUCUUCGGAUCGUAAAACUCUGUUAUUAGGGAAGAACAUAUGUGUAAGUAACUGUGCACAUCUUGACGGUACCUAAUCAGAAAGCCACGGCUAACUACGUGCCAGCAGCCGCGGUAAUACGUAGGUGGCAAGCGUUAUCCGGAAUUAUUGGGCGUAAAGCGCGCGUAGGCGGUUUUUUAAGUCUGAUGUGAAAGCCCACGGCUCAACCGUGGAGGGUCAUUGGAAACUGGAAAACUUGAGUGCAGAAGAGGAAAGUGGAAUUCCAUGUGUAGCGGCGAAAUGCGCAGAGAUAUGGAGGAACACCAGUGGCGAAGGCGACUUUCUGGUCUGUAACUGACGCUGAUGUGCGAAAGCGUGGGGAUCAAACAGGAUUAGAUACCCUGGUAGUCCACGCCGUAAACGAUGAGUGCUAAGUGUUAGGGGGUUUCCGCCCCUUAGUGCUGCAGCUAACGCAUUAAGCACUCCGCCUGGGGAGUACGACCGCAAGGUUGAAACUCAAAGGAAUUGACGGAGACCCGCACAAGCGGUGGAGCAUGUGGUUUAAUUCGAAGCAACGCGAAGAACCUUACCAAAUCUUGACAUCCUUUGACAACUCUAGAGAUAGAGCCUUCCCCUUCGGGGGACAAAGUGACAGGUGGUGCAUGGUUGUCGUCAGCUCGUGUCGUGAGAUGUUGGGUUAAGUCCCGCAACGAGCGCAACCCUUAAGCUUAGUUGCCAUCAUUAAGUUGGGCACUCUAAGUUGACUGCCGGUGACAAACCGGAGGAAGGUGGGGAUGACGUCAAAUCAUCAUGCCCCUUAUGAUUUGGGCUACACACGUGCUACAAUGGACAAUACAAAGGGCAGCGAAACCGCGAGGUCAAGCAAAUCCCAUAAAGUUGUUCUCAGUUCGGAUUGUAGUCUGCAACUCGACUACAUGAAGCUGGAAUCGCUAGUAAUCGUAGAUCAGCAUGCUACGGUGAAUACGUUCCCGGGUCU
rnacentral:rRNA from 1 species